rnacentral:rRNA from 2 species
GCAGUCGAACGAACUCUGGUAUUGAUUGGUGCUUGCAUCAUGAUUUACAUUUGAGUGAGUGGCGAACUGGUGAGUAACACGUGGGAAACCUGCCCAGAAGCGGGGGAUAACACCUGGAAACAGAUGCUAAUACCGCAUAACAACUUGGACCGCAUGGUCCGAGCUUGAAAGAUGGCUUCGGCUAUCACUUUUGGAUGGUCCCGCGGCGUAUUAGCUAGAUGGUGGGGUAACGGCUCACCAUGGCAAUGAUACGUAGCCGACCUGAGAGGGUAAUCGGCCACAUUGGGACUGAGACACGGCCCAAACUCCUACGGGAGGCAGCAGUAGGGAAUCUUCCACAAUGGACGAAAGUCUGAUGGAGCAACGCCGCGUGAGUGAAGAAGGGUUUCGGCUCGUAAAACUCUGUUGUUAAAGAAGAACAUAUCUGAGAGUAACUGUUCAGGUAUUGACGGUAUUUAACCAGAAAGCCACGGCUAACUACGUGCCAGCAGCCGCGGUAAUACGUAGGUGGCAAGCGUUGUCCGGAUUUAUUGGGCGUAAAGCGAGCGCAGGCGGUUUUUUAAGUCUGAUGUGAAAGCCUUCGGCUCAACCGAAGAAGUGCAUCGGAAACUGGGAAACUUGAGUGCAGAAGAGGACAGUGGAACUCCAUGUGUAGCGGUGAAAUGCGUAGAUAUAUGGAAGAACACCAGUGGCGAAGGCGGCUGUCUGGUCUGUAACUGACGCUGAGGCUCGAAAGUAUGGGUAGCAAACAGGAUUAGAUACCCUGGUAGUCCAUACCGUAAACGAUGAAUGCUAAGUGUUGGAGGGUUUCCGCCCUUCAGUGCUGCAGCUAACGCAUUAAGCAUUCCGCCUGGGGAGUACGGCCGCAAGGCUGAAACUCAAAGGAAUUGACGGGGGCCCGCACAAGCGGUGGAGCAUGUGGUUUAAUUCGAAGCUACGCGAAGAACCUUACCAGGUCUUGACAUACUAUGCAAAUCUAAGAGAUUAGACGUUCCCUUCGGGGACAUGGAUACAGGUGGUGCAUGGUUGUCGUCAGCUCGUGUCGUGAGAUGUUGGGUUAAGUCCCGCAACGAGCGCAACCCUUAUUAUCAGUUGCCAGCAUUAAGUUGGGCACUCUGGUGAGACUGCCGGUGACAAACCGGAGGAAGGUGGGGAUGACGUCAAAUCAUCAU